AAAGCAUUGAAUUGAAUGAAAGGGAAAACCCAGAUAAUAAAACCAAUAAAAAAAACCCAAUCAGACCCAAUAAAAAACCCAGAUAAUAAAGCAACAACCUUGAAGAACAGAGCAGCAAAUUUAUGAAAAGAGGUGGAAUAACAAAGAAAAGGGGUUGGAUUUCAGAGCAGAGUCAUCGUGUUCAUGUAGAGAUGAGUCAUCUAAACAGUCAUCA